CACUGUGGCAUACUACGUGGAAAGCACCGGUUCUCGUCCGAUCGCCGAAGGUAAGCUACGCUGGGUCUGGUGAACGGUUGAGUGUUGCUGAAAUCUCGCUUUAGUGC
rnacentral:rRNA from 1 species